CCCUCAUAACUCAGUCAGUAAAGAAUCUGCCUGCAAUGCAGGAGACCCAGGUUCGAUUCCUGGAUUAGGAA
rnacentral:tRNA from 1 species